rnacentral:tRNA from 1 species
GCGGGGGUGCCCGAGCCAGGGCAAAGGGGUCGGACUUAAGAUCCGAUGGCUUAGUGCCGCCCCGGGUUCAAAUCCCGGCCCCCGCACCA